rnacentral:rRNA from 1 species
ACUCAAAUGAAUUGACGGGGACUUGCACAAGCGGUGGAUGAUGUGGUUUAAUUCGACGAUUCACGAAGAACCUUACCAGGGUUAGAAAUCAAGACGAAGAUAUCCAGAAACGGGUAUCGCCUUCGGGCGGCUUGACAGGUGAUGCAUGGUUGUUGUCAGUUCGUGGUUUGAAUUGUUCCCUUAAGUGGGGUAACGAACGAAACCCUCGUUGUGUGUUAUAUUUGUCACACGAGACUGCUCCUUUAUAGGAGAGGAAGGAGAGGAUGACACCAAAUCAGCAUGUCCCUUGAUACCCUGGGCUACACACGUCAUACAAUGGCACUUACAAUGGGUUGCAAUACCGCAAGGUGGAGCCAAUCCUCAAAAAGUGCCCCAGUUCAGAUUGGGGUCUGCAACUCGACCCCAUGAAGCCGGAAUCGCUAGUAAUCACAGGUCAGCUAUACUGUGGUGAAUACGUUCUCAAGUCUUGUACACACCGCCCGU